UACGUAUGGAGCAAGCGUUAUCCGGAUUUACUGGAUGUAAAGGGAGCGUAGGCGGCAUACCAAGCCUGAUGUGAAAACCCGGGGCCCAACCCCGGGAGUGCAUUGGGAACUGGCAAGCUAGAGUGUCGGAGAGGCAGGCGGAAUUCCUAGUGUAGCGGUGAAAUGCGUAGAUAUUAGGAGGAACACCAGUGGCGAAGGCGGCCUGCUGGACGAUGACUGACGCUGAGGCACGAAAGCGUGGGGAGCAAACAGG
rnacentral:rRNA from 1 species